GUUGGUUGAAGGCGAUUAAAGAGACGUUUGUAGGCACAUGACAGGCAUGAGGAUAGGAGAUGAUGACAGAGGCAAGCUCAGUUUUUUUAAAGACCUUCAAAGAAAGUGGCUAUGAAUUUAGGUAGUGAGAGCAACAUUUAAAAUCCUUUUCUAACAUGUCCUUUCCCUUUUGAUAUUAUCUCUGAACUGGGCCUACCAAUCCAUGAAUCUACAAGUCUACUGAGCACUUUCUAGACGUUGUGAGAGACAAAAGAAGCACCUUGGGAGAUAAGACACAGCCCUUGAGCUAAUAGCAGCAGCAAGGCCAUUCAUGCAAGGGGAACACAUGGAUUGCCACACCCCAUUGGAAGCAUUUUCCCUUCUGUCAUCAGUAUCACGCUCUGUGGAGAGCAUCUUCCAGCCUCCAGAGGACAGGUUUUACAGGUUGCCGAGGAACUGGAUUGAUUUUGGAGAGCCUUGAAUGCCAUGUGGAGUUUGGACUUGAAGCUGAGAUUUUAAACAAUCCCGUGCUGCUGCUGACCCCAUGUUAGAUUUGCCUUGCCAUGUGAAAAAGAGCAACAUCCCACACUUGCCCAUCCUGUGCCCUUUCUUGCUUGAAGCUACAGCAACUCACAAAACCUGUCAUCUGUCCUGGGCUGCAAGAGGCUUUGACUUUGCCUGUGCGUGGCCCCUGGGAGUCCAGAUGUUUUCACUGCAGGGGAAGGAGCUCAUUUGGAAAAAAAAAAAAAAUCCAAUUGUUUGUAAUGUGAUGCAAUUUUCUCUUGAAAUCAAUUAGCGUCUCCCUAAUUCCUCUGCAUACAAUUGCUUUCAAAAAUAAAUUCCAGGUUCCAUGUC
ensembl:lncRNA